rnacentral:rRNA from 1 species
CCGUGAGGGAAAGAUGAAAAGAACUUUGGAAAGAGAGUUAAACAGUACGUGAAAUUGCUGAAAGGGAAACGCUUGAAGUCAGUCGCAUUAGCUGGGGAUCAACCUUUCUUUUGAUUGGUGUACUUCCUAGUUGAUGGGUCAACAUCAGUUUUGACUGUUAGAUAAAGGUUGGGGGAAUGUGGCAUCUUCGGAUGUGUUAUAGCCCUUGAUUGUAUAUAACAGUUGGGACUGAGGAAUUCAGCACGCCGCAAGGCCGGGUUUUUAACCACGUACGUGCUUAGGAUGUUGACAUAAUGGCUUUAAUCGACCCGUCUUGAAACACGACCAAGAGUACGGGUCGAUUAAAGCCAUUAUG